AGUGAACGCUGGCGGUAGGCCUAACACAUGCAAGUCGAACGGCAGCACAGUAAGAGCUUGCUCUUACGGGUGGCGAGUGGCGGACGGGUGAGGAAUACAUCGGAAUCUACUUUUUCGUGGGGGAUAACGUAGGGAGACUUGCGCUAAUACCGCAUACGACCUAAGGGUGAAAGCAGGGGAGCUUCGGACCUUGCGCGAUUGAAUGAGCCGAUGUCGGAUUAGCUAGUUGGCGGGGUAAAGGCCCACCAAGGCGACGAUCCGUAGCUGGUCUGAGAGGAUGAUCAGCCACACUGGAACUGAGACACGGUCCAGACUCCUACGGGAGGCAGCAGUGGGGAAUAUUGGACAAUGGGCGCAAGCCUGAUCCAGCCAUACCGCGUGGGUGAAGAAGGCCUUCGGGUUGUAAAGCCCUUUUGUUGGGAAAGAAAAGCAGCAGGUUAAUACCCCGCUGUUCUGACGGUACCCAAAGAAUAAGCACCGGCUAACUUCGUG
rnacentral:rRNA from 1 species